UUCCACAAACAAGACCCCACCAGGUUC
rnacentral:piRNA from 1 species